rnacentral:rRNA from 1 species
AGCAGCCGCGGUAAUUCCAGCUCCAAUAGCGUAUAUUAAAGUCGUUGCAGUUAAAAAGCUCGUAGUUGAAUUUCGGGAUCAAUACGUCGGUCGUGCUUCGGUACGUACUAACGUCAUUGAUUUCUCCCUUCUGACGAAUCGUGAUGUCAUUAAUUUGGUGUUACGGGGAGUUAGGACUGUUACUUUGAAAAAAUUAGAGUGUUUAAAGCAAGCAAUCGCUCGAAUACAUUAGCAUGGAAUAAUGAAAUAGGACGUUCGAACCUAUUUUGUUGGUUUCUAGGAUCGACGUAAUGAUUAAUAGGGAUAGUUGGGGGCAUUAGUAUUCAAUUGUCAGAGGUGAAAUUCUUGGAUUUAUUGAAGACUAACUACUGCGAAAGCAUUUGCCAAGGAUGUUUUCAUUAAUCAAGAACGAAAGUUAGGGAAUCGAAGACGAUCAGAUACCGUCGUAGUCUUAACCAUAAACUAUGCCGACUAGGGAUCGGAUGAUGUUAAUUUUAUAAUGACUCAUUCGGCGCCUUAC